CAAAGAGUUUACAAGGCUUCACUCUUUGCUCUGGGACCAAAUAUGAGUGGUCACGACCUGGGAAUAUUGGUUCGGUUGCCUCAGAUACCACAUGCUCCAGUGUAGAAAGAAUUUCAUCAAGUCUUUAAAGUCACAGAUGAAAAGAAAACCUUAAAUCAAGGCAUUUUCCAAAUACAUGAAUGGAAACAUCAGAUGGGUUACAGAAAAGUGGGGAAACUCUGCUGUUGGCUUCAGCGGCUUGCUGGUGGCAUUCUUAAGGGUCCAUUGGGCUUCUGGAGCAUCUCUUGUCUCUGCAUUUCAUUUCCUCAUAGGUGUACUAGGAUGGUAGACCUUGACUUUAACACAGCUUUGAGAGGAAAUGGAACCCAGGUGGAUCAUUAUGCUAACAGUCCUACAGCUCUGGCCUACACUUGUACAAGCAGUUGACCGAGAAAUGGAUCCAUCAGUGGCUUUCAAGUGAGAGGAAACCUGGAGACCUCCCAACCCAGAACAGCUGCUGAGAGAAUCGGACUCACUUGCCAAAUCAGAAAAGAAAGAAAACGGUGGGAACGCGCGCAUGCGCACACACACAUGCACACCACUACCUGGUUAUAAAGAGAACUGCUUUGGGAUUCAUCUCAUUCGCAGUGAGAAUGCCCCUUGACCACUCCUGGUUCUCUGUAACAUCUCCCAACCUGUUCACCUAUCAUCCAGAUGUUUUUCACACAUCCCAUAGUGAAUGCCAAGCUCUUGCAGACAUGAUAGAAAUGACCAUAUCUGACAAACUUGCAUUUCAGCAGGAAGGUCAAAUAUAUAUAAUCUUUCGUUA